rnacentral:rRNA from 1 species
GAUGAACGCUGGCGGUAUGCUUAACACAUGCAAGUCGAACGGGAUGCUUAGGCAUCUAGUGGCGGACGGGUGAGUAACGCGUGAGAAUCUGGCUCCAGGUCGGGGAUAACAGUUGGAACGACUGCUAAUACCGGAUGUGCCGAGAGGUGAAAGAUUUAUCGCCUGGAGAUGAGCUCGCGUCUGAUUAGCUAGUUGGCGGUGUAAGGGACCACCAAGGCGUCGAUCAGUAGCUGGUCUGAGAGGAUGAUCAGCCACACUGGGACUGAGACACGGCCCAGACUCCUACGGGAGGCAGCAGUGGGGAAUUUUCCGCAAUGGGCGAAAGCCUGACGGAGCAAUACCGCGUGAGGGAGGAAGGCUCUUGGGUCGUAAACCUCUUUUCUCAAGGAAGAAGAAAGUGACGGUACUUGAGGAAUAAGCAUCGGCUAACUCCGUGCCAGCAGCCGCGGUAAUACGGAGGAUGCAAGCGUUAUCCGGAAUGAUUGGGCGUAAAGGGUCUGCAGGUGGAACUGAAAGUCUGCUGUUAAAGAGUUUGGCUUAACCAAAUAAAAGCGGUGGAAACUACAGAACUAGAGUGCGGUAGGGGCAAAAGGAAUUCCUGGUGUAGCGGUGAAAUGCGUAGAUAUCAGGAAGAACACCGGUGGCGAAAGCGUUUUGCUAGACCGUAACUGACACUGAGGGACGAAAGCUAGGGGAGCGAAUGGGAUUAGAUACCCCAGUAGUCCUAGCCGUAAACGAUGGAUACUAGGCGUGGCUUGUAUCGACCCGAGCCGUGCCGGAGCUAACGCGUUAAGUAUCCCGCCUGGGGAGUACGCACGCAAGUGUGAAACUCAAAGGAAUUGACGGGGGCCCGCACAAGCGGUGGAGUAUGUGGUUUAAUUCGAUGCAACGCGAAGAACCUUACCAAGGCUUGACAUCCUGCGAAUCCUGGUGAAAGCUGGGAGUGCCUUAGGGAGCGCAGAGACAGGUGGUGCAUGGCUGUCGUCAGCUCGUGUCGUGAGAUGUUGGGUUAAGUCCCGCAACGAGCGCAACCCUCGUUUUUAGUUGCCAGCAUUAAGUUGGGCACUCUAGAGAGACUGCCGGUGACAAACCGGAGGAAGGUGAGGAUGACGUCAAGUCAGCAUGCCCCCUUACGUCUUGGGGCUACACACGUACUACAAUGCUACCGAACGGAGGGCAGCGAGCCCGGGGAUGGCAAGCGAAUCCAGAAAACCGUAGCUUCAUUUCAGAUCGAAGGCUGCAACUCCCCCUUCCUGAAAGGAGGAAUCCCCUAGUAAUUGCCAGGUCAGCCAUACUGGCAGUGAAAUUCCUUUCCCGGGGCCUUGUACACACCGCCCGUCACACCAUGGAAGUUGGUCACGCCCGAAGUCAUUACCCCAACCGAAAGGAGGGGGAUGCCUAAGGUAGGACUGGUGACUGGGGUGAAGUCGUAACAAGGUAGCCGUACCGGAAGGUGUGGCUGGAUCACCUCCUUU